CACGGCACAGUGGUUGGAAAACACUGCUAGAGGACCCCAGCUCGAAGGAGAUAUCGCCCAAGUGGUGUUAACGAUUCGCAUGAAGCAGCUGCCGCGUUGGCCCCUGUGGACUGGAACCGGGUCGCGCGGUACACCGUUGGAUCGACGUGCAUGUUACCAUGGAGAUGGUCGGAAUGGCACAAACCUGCUCCAGCGACAGGAAGCGCAUGGACAUGGCGCGCAGCCGCGUGGGCACGCAGCACGACUUGACGUUGGGGAAGAGUUCGGAGCCCCUCAUGCGGUACUGGUUGAUGACGGCGGUGUGGAAGGAGAGCGCAGAGCCGCCGACGCUUGCCAUAUGGUCGGCGGGACAGUCUCCCUCGCAGUAGUUGGCAUGGUAACCGGACGGCGCGAUGAUCCAGUCGCUCCAGCCGAUGUCUUGAAAACUCACGUAAAAGCGCUGCUUGCAGCACGUGCGCGUUUUGCUAUCGCACUCCAAGCUGCGAGCCGUCCGUCGCCGCCGAGCGGCCUCCUCUCCGCCGCCACGCAACGCCACCGUCAAGAAGGGCCGAUGGGAUUGGUUGCCGCCGACCGAGGGCAGGACGGGCGUGGCGCCAGCCCCGGCGCACAGCGGGCAGGACAGCCUGAGGUGGAGCGGCCCAUCGGCUUUGUCCAGCCAAGACUGGACGCAGUGCGGGACAGCCAGGACGUGCCAGCCACUGCGGCGUGUGUCCACCAUCUUCUCGGCGGCGGGCACGUCCUGCUCGGCCUGGUGGAGCUGCAGUUUCACCUUGCCUUUGGCCCGAGUGCCCCGGGACAACUUGAGGAAGAGCCACAGUUCGGCCCGCUCCACCAGCGCUGCCUUGCCGCCUUCCUUGGGGAGCUCGAAGGUCAGAGUGUUGCCGGUCUCUCCUGGUACACACAAA